rnacentral:rRNA from 1 species
GCAGACGCUAUUCUCCGAGACUAAGCCAUGCAAGUUCCUGCAAGAAGGACAGACAGCUCAGCAGCACCGGGCUGCCUGCCCCCGCGGGCCGAUAACCUGGCGAAAGACAGGCUAAGCGCGGGGAUGGGGCCUGGCGCCAUCAGCUAGUCGGUCGUGUAACGGACUACCGAGGCGACGACGGCUACGGGACGCGAGAGCGUGGUUCCGGAGAGGGAGCCUGAGAGACAGCUCCCACGUCCACGGACGGCAGCAGGCGCGAAAAUUGUCCACUCUACGAGGAGACAGUCACGAGAAGUACGAGCGGUAGGCCCUGCAACGAGGGGUGCGAAAACUGGAGGCAAGCUUGGUGCCAGCAGCCGCGG